rnacentral:rRNA from 1 species
AACGAACGCUGGCGGCAGGCUUAGCACAUGCAAGUCGAACGGUUGCAGCAAUGCAGCAGUGGCAGACGGGUGAGUAACACGUGGGAACCUUCCUAGGGGUACGGAACAACUCAGGGAAACUUAAGCUAAUACCGUAUACGUCCGUGAGGAGAAAGAUUUAUCGCCCUUAGACGGGCCCGCGUCGGAUUAGCUAGUUGGGGGGGUAACGGCCUACCAAGGCGACGAUCCGUAGCUGAUCUUAGAGGAUGAUCAGCCACACUGGGACUGAGACACGGCCCAGACUCCUACGGGAGGCAGCAGUGGGGAAUCUUGGACAAUGGGCGCAAGCCUGAUCCAGCCAUGCCGCGUGAGUGAAGAAGGUCUUCGGAUUGUAAAGCUCUUUUGCCAGGGACGAUAAUGACGGUACCUGGAGAAUAAGCCCCGGCAAACUUCGUGCCAGCCGCCGCCGUAACAC